rnacentral:rRNA from 1 species
UACGUAGGUGGCAAGCGUUGUCCGGAUUUACUGGGCGUAAAGAGCGCGCAGGCGGUCGAUCAAGUCGCGUGUGAAAGCCCCCGGCUCAACUGGGGAGGGUCACGCGAUACUGAUCGACUCGAAGGCAGGAGAGGGUAGUGGAAUUCCCGGUGUAGUGGUGAAAUGCGUAGAUAUCUAGAGGAACGCCAAAGGUGAAGACAGGCGACUGGUUUGCAACUGACGCUCAUGGACGAAAGCGUGGGGAUCAAACGGG